CCGCAGAAACAGAAGCCCGGAGCCAACGCGCAGAAAAGUGAUUGGGCCAGUAAUCUGCCCAAAUCACUCGCAGAAACUGCCUAAAUCACUCGCAGAGACAGGAAACUGAAACUGGACAGACUUGCAGAAAGCGAUCGGGGCAGAUAGACCAAGCGAUCUGCCCAAAUCACUGCCCCAAUCACAUUGACAGCAGAAUUGACAGCAGAAGUGGGAAAAGAGCAGAAAAUCCAAAUUCAAAGAAAAGAAGUCCAAGUCCACUUCAAACACCACAAGAUCAGUCCCAAGAGCCAC
rnacentral:lncRNA from 1 species